AUUGAACGCUGGCGGCAUGCCUUACACAUGCAAGUCGAACGGCAGCACGGGAGCAAUCCUGGUGGCGAGUGGCGAACGGGUGAGUAAUGUAUCGGAACGUGCCUAGUCGUGGGGGAUAACGUAGCGAAAGCUACGCUAAUACCGCAUACGAUCUACGGAUGAAAGCGGGGGAUCGAAAGACCUCGUGCGAUUGGAGCGGCCGAUAUCGGAUGAGGUAGUUGGUGGGGUAAAGGCCCACCAAGCCAACGAUCUGUAGCUGGUCUGAGAGGACGACCAGCCACACUGGGACUGAGACACGGCCCAGACUCCUACGGGAGGCAGCAGUGGGGAAUUUUGGACAAUGGGCGAAAGCCUGAUCCAGCAAUGCCGCGUGCAGGACGAAGGCCUUCGGGUUGUAAACUGCUUUUGUACGGAGCGAAAAGGUCUUCUCUAAUACAGGGGGCUCAUGACGGUACCGUAAGAAUAAGCACCGGCUAACUACGUGCCAGCCGCCGCGGUAA
rnacentral:rRNA from 1 species